rnacentral:lncRNA from 1 species
CCCUCCCUCCCUCCCCCCCCCCCCCCCCAGUCAUCAAGCCUUUGGCAUCAUUAUCCUCUUCACUAAAUCCUACUGGAUGCUGGGCGGAAAACGGUGAGCGC